rnacentral:rRNA from 1 species
UACGAAGGGGGCUAGCGUUGCUCGGAAUCACUGGGCGUAAAGGGUGCGUAGGUGGCGCGCUAAGUCAGGUGUGAAAUCUCGGGGCUUAACUCCGAAACUGCAUUUGAUACUGGCGUGCUUGAGGACUGGAGAGGAGACUGGAAUUCAUGGUGUAGCAGUGAAAUGCGUAGAGAUCAUGAGGAAGACCAGUGGCGAAGGCGGGUCUCUGGACAGUUCCUGACACUGAGGCACGAAGGCCAGGGGAGCAAACGGG